GAUGAUCAUUCAAAUAUCUUCGCCUAUCAACUUUCGAUGGUAGGAUAGAGGCUACCAUGGUUGGAACGGGUAACGGGAAUAAGGGUCGAUUCCGGAGAGGGAGCUGAGAAACGGUACCACAUCCAAGGAAGGCAGCAGGCGCGCAAAUUACCCAAUCCCGACACGGGGAGGUAGUGACAAUAAAUAACAAUAUAGGGCUCUUUUGGGUCCUGUGAUAAUUGGAAUGAGUACAAUUUAAUCUCUUAAGAGGAACAAUUGGAGGGCAAGUCUUGGUGCAAGCAGCCGGGGGUAAUUCCAGCUCCAAUAGCGGUAUAUUAAAGUUGUUGCAGUUAAAAAGCUCGUAGUUGAACUUCAAGAUCUGGUUGAGUGGUCCCGCCUAACGGUGUGUUACUGCUUGAUGGGUCUUGUCUCUUGGUGAACCGGUGGUGUCCUUUAUUGGAUGCUUCGGGGAACCAGGAACUUUUACCUUGAGAAAAUUAGAGUGUUCAAAGCAGGCCUAUGCCCCGAAUACAUUAGCAUGGAAUAAUAGAA
rnacentral:rRNA from 1 species